UCGGAAUCAUAGUUCUAACACCCUUGAGAUACUAAAAGAACAACAAUAACGUCACAGUCCCAAACAAGAAAAUUACCUGAGAACCCUGCGGAGAUGGAACAUUAUUCAAAUAAUUCCGAGAAGAAAAUAUAUCUGAACAAGUUUGUGGCCGGAAAAGAACCUCCAACGACGUCGUCACAUCGCGAUGGUGAUCUUCGUUAUCACCAACCCCAUUAUCUCUCCAAAGACAAGGCUCAGACUUACAUCUUCCUAUAGUCUUUCUUGCCCUAUGCUGCUUUAAUGUUCGUCGUGGCACGGUCCUAUUCCUCCAAUGACUCAAUGUGGCAAAUGACGGUUUUUGUACACUGCUACUACUACCUCUCCCGCACAUUGGAAUUCUUUGCCCGAGACAUCGUUGUGAGUUCUGAAUCGAGAGAGUGAAUUCUGAAAUAUAUAUCUAACUUUAUAAAAAUUGCUUUUCCUACAUAUAUUGAGUUUUGUCGAACCUGCAAACCUGUGGUUGAACCUUUCUGUGUGAUUGGAUGUAUGAACAUAUAGAAAGAGAAAG
rnacentral:lncRNA from 1 species